GACGAACGCUGGCGGCGUGCCUAACACAUGCAAGUCGAACGGGGUCAGCCCUUCGGGACUGACUUAGUGGCGAACGGGUGAGUAACGCGUGAGGAACCUGCCUUUCAGUGGGGGACAACAGUUGGAAACGACUGCUAAUACCGCAUAACAUGUACGGAUCGCAUGAUAGAUGUAUCAAAGAUUUAUCGCCAAAGGAUGGACUCGCGUCUGAUUAGAUAGUUGGUGGGGUAACGGCCUACCAAGUCGACGAUCAGUAGCCGACCUGAGAGGGUGAUCGGCCACAUUGGGACUGAGACACGGCCCAAACUCCUACGGGAGGCAGCAGUGGGGAAUAUUGGGCAAUGGGGGAAACCCUGACCCAGCAACGCCGCGUGGAGGAAGAAGGUUUCGGAUCGUAAACUCCUGUCCUCAGGGAAGAGCAGAAGACGGUACCUGAGGAGGAAGCCCCGGCUAAC
rnacentral:rRNA from 1 species